rnacentral:ncRNA from 1 species
AAUUGCAUACACGGGAGCUUGGUGAAGCCAGGCUGAGAGGAUAGCCGAAUGAUGCUGUCGACCGUAUAACCUGAUCUGGGUAAUGCCAGCGGAGGAAACGUUCAAGCCUUUGUG